rnacentral:rRNA from 1 species
AUUGAACGCUGGCGGCAGGCCUAACACAUGCAAGUCGAGCGGUAGCACAGGAGAGCUUGCUCUCCGGGUGACGAGCGGCGGACGGGUGAGUAAUGUCUGGGAAACUGCCUGAUGGAGGGGGAUAACUACUGGAAACGGUAGCUAAUACCGCAUAACGUCGCAAGACCAAAGAGGGGGACCUUCGGGCCUCUUGCCAUCAGAUGUGCCCAGAUGGGAUUAGCUAGUAGGUGGGGUAACGGCUCACCUAGGCGACGACCCCUAGCUGGUCUGAGAGGAUGACCAGCCACACUGGAACUGAGACACGGUCCAGACUCCUACGGGAGGCAGCAGUGGGGAAUAUUGCUCAUUGGGCGCAAGCCUGAUGCAGCCAUGCCGCGUGUAUGAAAGAAGGCCUUCGGGUUGUAAAAUCUUUCCGCGGGGGAGGAGGGGGUUGAGGGCCAAUU